GUGAUUAUACAAGUUACUAUAGACUUCCUGUCUCGGAUCUCUCUCAUCAACAAGGUGUUUCAGCCUGCAGACCCUCUGCUCACAGGAUGGCUUUUGUUUUUCACACCAUUCUGCUUCUUCUUCUUCUUCGUUGAGUAGUUUAAUGUUUUACGCGGUGUUAUUAUAUGGCCACCAGAGGGCGCUCCAGAUGCGCUGAGGGCGGAUUUUCUAGUUGGGUAUAAACGGAGGUCGGAGCCAGCUCCAAAUGGGAGGGUCAGAGCUCCAAAUAGGUGGGACUUUAGCUCCAAGUGGGCUGUACAAACCUCCAGAGGAUUUUGGUUAGUGUAGUGUCUAUGUAAAUUAAGCUGUCGGGGUUUUCCCCCAGAGGCAAUAUGGCGACUUGACGGAGUUAAACGGGUUAAGGGCAGACGAGGCGUUUACACCGAAGUGUUUACCCAGGACAGUGCAGUUUCUCAUGCAUGCAGUCCAGCUGUGCUAAUAAGUCCUGCCACUGUAUAUACAGAGAAAAUCAUGGCACCUUUAUCACUGUGGACUGUAAAUAUAUGUAUAAUUCUGUUUUUAUUUCAGAGUAAUUUGUACAUAUUUUGUAGUAGAUUUUGUUGUGAAGGAAUAGUUCACUUUAAAACAAAAUCAUUGAGCAAUAAAAACUGUUGUUUAUAAAGUCA